CUAAGAAUAUUCCGCAAUGGACGGAAGUCUGACGGAGCGACGCCGCGUGGAUGAAGAAGGCCGAAAGGUUGUAAAGUUCUUUUGCUGGGGAAGAAUAACCGCAGGAGGGAAUGCCUGUGGGAUGACAAGAACCGGCGAAUAAGCCCCGGCCAACUACGUGCCAGCAGCCGCGGUAACACGUAGGGGGCGAGCGUUGUUCGGAAUUACUGGGCGUAAAGGGCAUGUAGGCGGCUUGGAAAGCCUGGCGUGAAAGUCUGCAGCUUAACUGCAGGGGUGCGCUGGGAACUGCUGAGCUUGAGUGACGGAGAGGGAGCUGGAAUUCCUGGUGUAGGGGUGAAAUCUGUAGAUAUCAGGAAGAACACCGAUGGCGAAGGCAAGCUCCUGGCCGAUGACUGACGCUGAGGUGCGAAAGUGUGGGGAUCAAAACAGGAUUAGAUACCCUGGUAGUCCACACAGUCAACGAUGUGCACUAGGUGCUGGGGCGGUAGCUUCGGUGCCGGAGCGAACGUGGUAAGUGCACCGCCUGGGGAGUAUGCUCGCAAGGGUGAAACUCAAAUGAAUUG
rnacentral:rRNA from 1 species